rnacentral:RNase_P_RNA from 1 species
CAGCAAUGCAGAGGAAAGUCCGGGCUCCUUCGGACAGGGCGCCAGGUAACGCCUGGGGGGCGUGAGCCCAUGGAAAGUGCCACAGAAAAUAUACCGCCGACCCUGGGGUCGGUAAGGGUGAAAAGGUGCGGUAAGAGCGCACCGCGCGACUGGCAACAGCUCGCGGCACGGUAAACCCCGCCCGGAGCAAGACCAAAUAGGGGAGUAGGGGCUGUUUGCCCACCGUCGGUUCCGAACGGACUCCCGGGUAGGUUGCUCGAGGCAGCUGGCGACAGCUGUCCCAGAUGAAUGGUUGUCGAUGACAGAACCCGGCUUAUUGCCGGCUCCGGCUU